rnacentral:rRNA from 1 species
UACGGGGGGGGCAAGCAUUGUUCGGAAUUACUGGGCGUAAAGGGUUAGUAGGUGGCCAACUAAGUCAGACGUGAAAUCCCUCAGCUUAACUGGGGAACUGCGUCUGAGACUGAUUGGCUCGAGGACAGGAGAGGAACGCGGAAUUCCUGGUGUAGCGGUGAAAUGCGCAGAUAUCAGGAAGAACACCCGUGGCUAAGGCGGUUCUCUAGUACGGUACUGACGCUGAGACGCGAAAGCGUGGGGAGCGAACAGG